CCUAUGGGUGGCAGCAGUGAGGAAUAUUGGUCAAUGGACGGAAGUCUGAACCAGCGAUGCCGCGUGCAGGAAGACGGCUCUAUGAGUUGUAAACUGCUUUUGUACAAGGGUAAACCUGAAUACGUGUAUUCAGCUGAAAGUAUUGUUAGGAUGAGGAUCGGCUCACCCAGUGCCAGUGGCCGCGGGAAUGAGGAGGAUCAAAGCGUUAUCGGGGUUUAGUGGGUUUAAGGGGUGCGUAGGCGGAUUGAUAAGUUAGGGGGCAAAUGUCCGAGCGUAACUGCGGAACUGCCUCUAAUACUGUUUAUCUAGAGAGUAGGUGCGGUAUGCGGAAUGUAUGGUGUAGCGGUUAAAUGCUUAGAGAUCAUACAGAACACCGAUUGCGAAGGCAGCUUACCAAUCUAUAUCUGACGUUGAGGCACGAAAGCGUGGGGAGCAAACAGGAUUAGAUACCCUUGUAGUC
rnacentral:rRNA from 1 species